ACGAAACAUAAUGUUUGUUGUUGUUUUUAGGGGGCGGAAUCGAAAAGGAAAAGGAAACUGUAAUGAGAGUGACUUGGCAGGCGGCCAAAGGCAACAGGUCGUUGGCUGGGGUAAAGGCCGAUGGGCUGGACUGAGAAAGUGUCCCCGGGCGGGCAGCGGCCACCUUAACUCCUGGACGGAAUGGCUUUCGAGGAAACGCUGCAGUUCCACUAGGAGGCACCCUGACACACGCAUUUCCAGAGGGAGGGAUAACGGAAGCCAAAGUUUGUUAAGCGUUGUGCGCCGCGGCCGGGCGCGGUGAUUCACGCCUGUAAUCCCAGCACUUUGGGGGGCCGAGGCGGGCGGAUCACGACGUCAGGAGAUCGAGACCAUUCUGGCUAACACGGUGAAACCCCGUCUCUACUAAAAAUACAAAAACAAAAUUAGCUGGGCGUGGUGGCGGGCGCCUGUAGUCCCAGCUACUCGGGAGGCUGAGGUGGGAGAAUGGCGGGAACCCGGGAGGCGGAGUUUGCAGUGAGCCGAGAUUGCGCCACUGCACUCCAGCCUGGGCGACAGAGCGAGACUAUGUAUCAAAAAAAAAAAUGCGUUGUGCGCCGGGCUGAAACCGGCAUAAAACUGGGCAGAGCUAUGCAGGCAGCUACCCUCCCCCCCACCCCUACCCCCACCCCCACCCCCCUCGUGCCCGCUCCGCUACGUAUUCCCGUAUUCCCGGGUGCCUGGCAACAGUGAUGUGCUUUAGGCCUUUUUUAGAAUGCAUACAAACGGAACCAUAUCUAAGUGAUGUCUGGCUUUUUUAACUUAGCACAAUGCUUUGAGAUUCAUACUAUUGUGUUUAAUUAGUAAUUCAUUUGUGUUAUUGUUGAAUGGUAGUCUAUCAUAUGGGUAAGCCACAGUUUAUUUAUCCAUUCACCAAUUGAUGGGCCUGUCGGUUGUAGGGAACAGGAGAAAACUUCCCCUUUGCCCUCUGAAGGGUCACCGAAAAUCAACUGACAAGGCUGGGCCUGGGCUCCUGCCUGUAACCCCAGCCCUUUUUUAGCCCAAGGCAGGAGGAUCUCUUCUUUGUGAAGUGUGUAUUCAAAUCUUUUGACCAUUUAUUUAUUAGCUAGCUUGACUUUUUAUCUAAGAGUUCUUUAUAUAUUAUUGAGUUCUUUAUAUGUUUCAUACCAUGUUCUUUAUUAGCUAUACGUUUUGAAAUGUUUUCUACCUGUCUGUGGCUUGCCUCUUCAUUUUAAGUGUCUUUUGAAGCACUGAAGUUUUCAAUUUUGAUGUAAUUUAUCCAUUUUUUUCUUUUACAUAGUUCAUACCUUUUUUGUCCUACUUAAGACAUUUUUGCUAAAUUCAAGAUUAUAAGAUUUCCUCAUUUGUUACCUUCUGGAAGUUUUAUAAUUGUUGGUCUUCAUUAUAUUUAAAAUGAAUUAUUCUUUAUAGUAUCGAUAGAUGCUGGAGGCAGAUAAGGGAGGGUCCCUGGAGAAUCUCUGACCUGCCUCACAAGCUUUUGUGCAGCUGAGGAAGCCUGCCCAGGGUCUUGUCUGGGCAUGCCCACAAGGGACUUGGGGGCCCACUGCACCAGGAGAGUGGGGUGCAGCCAGAGGGAAUUCAGCCUUAUGCAGCAGGGAUGAGCAAGAAGUCUUCAGCUUGUGUGUGUUGGCCUGUUAUUCAGUCUGUGAGCUGGGAGCCUGUUGGCAGGACCCUCCUUGUUUUUUUGCUAAGAGCUUUUAAUAAAUGCCACUCUUCACCUUGCAAUGUAUUCACAUGCCUAAUUGUUCCUGGUCAUGAGACAAGAACCUGGAUUUUAGCUGAGCUAAGGAGCAAAAAUUCCUGCAUCAGUAUGAGAUUCAUUUCACUACCAGGUCAAAGACACAAUCAAAAGCCCGACAAAUGGAAUUUGUGGAAUUGGAACAAAAAGCUUUUCUUCCUAGGCACAAGAACAUCAAAGCAUAAAUCCUUCAGGUAUCAGCAAUGACAUCACUUAAGAAUUUCUCAGAAUCUUUGGCACCACCCCAGGCCUACCGGAUCAGAAUCUGAAUUUUUUAACAAGAUCUCAGAUCUAGUCAAGAGUCCAGUCUGAUUUCUCUUUAUUGGGACUACCACCCAAAGCAGAAUGAGGAUGAUGUAACCACGCCCAGUGACUUCUGGAUACCACUGACUCUAGAUGAGCAAGGAGAGACUCAGAGGAAGUCAGCGUUACUCGAUUAGAAAGUGACUGUGGCACUACCAUAGUAGUAAAAUCUACCAUGGCAGAGAAAAUGCCAUAUGUUCACCUUGCCAGUCGUUUUUCUUUUUCCUCCUGGGUUUAUAGGAAGAUGGCAGCCCCUGGCUCCCCUGCAAUCAGGCAGGGCCAUGUGACUGAGUCUUAGCUCACCAAUGUGGGAGAAAGUGAUGUGUGACACAUUAAGGCCAGGCCACUGAAACCUCUCAUGGGAACUUCCAUACUCACUUCCCUCAUCUGCUAGCCAACCCAAAAGAUUGAGUGGAGGAUUUUACAGCCCCAGGGCCUAGAGAUGCUGGAAAGAAGCCUGAUUCAGCCCUGAAUGAACCUGUGCAAAGGUGCCUCUGACCUCCAACCCUUGUUGGACUAGGAUGUUGGAAAAUACUGUGUUAAGCUACUGGGAUUUCAAAGUUGUUUGUCAUAGCAGCUAGCCAUAUUUACUCUACCUGAUAGAUCUAUGUUCUGUAAUUACAGUGUUUGCCUUUCAUGUCCUAAGGGUAAAUAAGUGAUAUAUGCAACAAUAAACUGUGAUGUACUAUAUAUUGUUUUUAUUACAUUAAAAUUCUUAAAAUUUGCUUUUUCA
rnacentral:lncRNA from 1 species